CGGAGUAUAGCGCAGUCCGGUAGCGCACUAAGCUGGGGGCUUAGGGGUCACAGGUUCGAAUCCUGUUACUCCGACCA
rnacentral:tRNA from 1 species